UACGUAGGUGGCGAGCGUUGUCCGGAAUUACUGGGUGUAAAGGGAGUGUAGGCGGGGGUUUAAGUUGGAUGUGAAAGACCGCGGCUCAACUGCGGGGCUGCAUCCAAAACUGGACUUCUUGAGUGAAGUAGAGGCAAGCGGAAUUCCUAGUGUAGCGGUGAAAUGCGUAGAUAUUAGGAGGAACACCAGUGGCGAAGGCGGCUUGCUGGGCUUUUACUGACGCUGAGGCUCGAAAGCGUGGGGAGCAAACAGG
rnacentral:rRNA from 1 species